GAUGAAGAACGUAGCGAAAUGCGAUAAGUAAUGUGAAUUGCAGAAUUCAGUGAAUCAUCGAAUCUUUGAACGCACCUUGCGCCCUUUGGCUAUUCCGAAGGGCAUGCCUGUUUGAGUAUCAUGAACACCUCAACUCUCGUGGCUUGCCAUGAUGAGCUUGGACUUUGGGGGUUUUGCUGGCCUAUGGCCGGCUCCUCUCAAAUGAAUUAGCUUGCCAGUGUUUGGUGGCAUCACAGGUGUGAUAAAUAUCUACGCUUGUGGUUUUCCACCAGGUAACCUUCAGUGGAUGGAGGUUCGCUGGGGCUCAUAAACGUCUCUCCUCAGUGAGGACAGCUCUUUGAACGUUUGAUCUCAAAUCAGGUAGGACUACCCGCUGAACUUAAGCAUAUCAAUAAGCGGAGGA
rnacentral:misc_RNA from 1 species